rnacentral:rRNA from 1 species
GAUUUCUGCCCAGUGCUCUGAAUGUCAAAGUGAAGAGAUUCACCCAAGCGCGGGUAAACGGCGGGAGUAACUAUGACUCAACUUCAAGCACUUAAUGUGAGCAUAGAACAUUGACAUAGCCUCGGGGCUAUUACAAGUGUGUCUCCUGCCCAGUGUCAUGAAUAUCCCAAAGAAUUUUAUAGUGAAAUGUAAUUCGAUCAGGCACAGGCAAUGGCGGGAGUAAAAGCAUGAAUAAAU